GACAUAUCACGUUGAAACACCGGCUCUCGUACGAUCACCGAAGUUAAGCACCGUUGAGACUGGCCAGUACCUUGAUGAGUGACCACUCAGGAAUGCCACGUGCU